rnacentral:tRNA from 1 species
GCGAGGAUGGCGGAACUGGUAGACGCACUGGAUUUAGGAUCCAGCGGUUCAUCCGUGGGGGUUCAACUCCCCCUCCUCGUACCA